rnacentral:rRNA from 1 species
ACGGUAGCUUACCAGAAAGGGACGGCUAACUACGUGCCAGCAGCCGCGGUAAUACGUAGGUCCCGAGCGUUGUCCGGAUUUAUUGGGCGUAAAGCGAGCGCAGGCGGUUUGAUAAGUCUGAAGUUAAAGGCUGUGGCUCAACCAUAGUUCGCUUUGGAAACUGUCAAACUUGAGUGCAGAAGGGGAGAGUGGAAUUCCAUGUGUAGCGGUGAAAUGCGUAGAUAUAUGGAGGAACACCGGUGGCGAAAGCGGCUCUCUGGUCUGUAACUGACGCUGAGGCUCGAAAGCGUGGGGAGCGAACAGGAUUAGAUACCCUGGUAGUCCACGCCGUAAACGAUGAGUGCUAGGUGUUGGAUCCUUUCCGGGAUUCAGUGCCGCAGCUAACGCAUUAAGCACUCCGCCUGGGGAGUACGACCGCAAGGUUGAAACUCAAAGGAAUUGACGGGGGCCCGCACAAGCGGUGGAGCAUGUGGUUUAAUUCGAAGCAACGCGAAGAACCUUACCAGGUCUUGACAUCCCGAUGCUAUUUCUAGAGAUAGAAAGUUACUUCGG